rnacentral:rRNA from 1 species
GACUGUUUACUAAAAACACAACACAGUGCAAUCAUAAAUGUGAUMGUAUACUGUGUGAAAUUUGCCCAAUGCCAUUAAUAUAAAAGCGGUCAUAUUAAACUGUGACUAAUUGAAAAUCUGGUUAAUAGCGGUCUUAACCAUGAGGAUCCUAAGGUAGCAAAAUCGAUUGGCCAUUAAAUGUGGUCCGGUAUCAAUAAUGUAACGAUGGCCUCACUGUCUCUACAACUUGCUCAGUGAAAUUGAAUU